GAGGGUGUAGCUCAGUGGUGGAGCGCAUGCUUAGCACGCACGAGGUCCUGGGUUCAACCCCCGGUACCUCCA
rnacentral:tRNA from 1 species